rnacentral:lncRNA from 1 species
GAGAUCACUUAGAUGAUCCACUGGAUGAUACUGCCACUGUGUUUCAGCAGUUGGAGCAGUUGUGCACGGUCAGCAGAUGUGAAUAUGAAAAGACAUGUGCUCUUCUUGUGCAGUUAUUCGACCAAAAUGCACAGAAUUACCAAAAACUUCUGCAUCCAUAUUCUGGUGUAACUGUGGACAUCACCAUUCAGGAAGUUUUCCUCUAUAAGAUUGAUAGGAUAUACUUCUCUCUGGAAUCAAUAUGAAGAAAAAUUGAUAAUGGCCCUUGAGCAGAUAGUUUAUGAACAUAACUAUCUUAACUGGUUGUGUUUUCUUCUUUGCUAUACUUGAUUGCAAACUCAGAACCCAAUUUCAGCCAAUAAAAAGUAUAUAAUA